UACGGGGGGGGCAAGCGUUGUUCGGAAUUACUGGGCGUAAAGGGCUCGUAGGCGGCCAACUAAGUCGGAUGUGAAAUCCCCAGGCUCAACCUGGGAACUGCAUCCGAUACUGGAUGGCUUGAAUUCGGGAGAGGGAUGCAGAAUUCCAGGUGUAGCGGUGAAAUGCGUAGAUAUCUGGAGGAAUACCGGUGGCGAAGGCGGCAUCCUGGACCGACAUUGACGCUGAGGAGCGAAAGCUAGGGGAGCGAAUGGG
rnacentral:rRNA from 1 species